UACGUAGGGCGCGAGCGUUGUCCGGAAUUAUUGGGCGUAAAGAGCUCGUAGGCGGCUUGUUGCGUCUGCUGUGAAAUCCCGGGGCUUAACCCCGGGCGUGCAGUGGAUACGGGCAGACUAGAGUACUGCAGGGGAGACUGGAAUUCCUGGUGUAGCGGUGGAAUGCGCAGAUAUCAGGAGGAACACCGGUGGCGAAGGCGGGUCUCUGGGCAGUAACUGACGCUGAGGAGCGAAAGCGUGGGGAGCGAACAGG
rnacentral:rRNA from 1 species